rnacentral:pre_miRNA from 1 species
GUGUGACUGUGUGUUGAUGGUGUUCAGAACCAAGGACAGGUAUGAGUGACUGAUUGUUGAUGGUGUUCAGCAACAAGUACAGAUAUGUGUGACU